AAUAGAUACCCGGGUAGUCCAUGCCGUAAACGAUGUCUACUAGCCGUUGGGGCCUUUGAGGCUUUAGUGGCGCAGCUAACGCGAUAAGUAGACCGCCUGGGGAGUACGGUCGCAAGACUAAAACUCAAAUGAAUUGACGGGGGCCCGCACAAGCGGUGGAGCAUGUGGUUUAAUUCGAUGCAACGCGAAGAACCUUACCUGGUCUUGACAUAGUAAGAACUUUCCAGAGAUGGAUUGGUGCCUUCGGGAACUUACAUACAGGUGCUGCAUGGCUGUCGUCAGCUCGUGUCGUGAGAUGUUGGGUUAAGUCCCGCAACGAGCGCAACCCUUUUCCUUAUUUGCCAGCGGGUUUAAGCCGGGAACUUUAAGGAUACUGCCAGUGACAAACUGGAGGAAGGCGGGGACGACGUCAAGUCAUCAUGGCCCUUACGACCAGGGCUACACACGUGCUACAAUGGUCGGUACAAAGGGUUGCUACCUAGCGAUAGGAUGCUAAUCUCAAAAAGCCGAUCGUAGUCCGGAUUGGAGUCUGCAACUCGACUCC
rnacentral:rRNA from 1 species